CAAUAGCGUAUAUUAAAGUUGUUGCAGUUAAAAAGCUCGUAGUUGGAUUUGUGGCGUACGGUGUGUUCCGGGCACUUGUUGUCUGAGUAACCUGCUGUUGCCAUCCUUGGGUGGAACCUGUGUGGCAUUAGGUUGUCGUGCAGGGGAUGCCCAUCAUUUACUGUGAAAAAAUUAGAGUGUUCAAAGCAGGCUUAUGCCGUUGAAUAUAUUAGCAUGGAAUAAUGAGAUAGGACUUUUUUGCUAUUUUGUUGGUUUGCGCAAGAAGGUAAUGAUUAAUAGGGACAGUUGGGGGUAUUCGUAUUCCAUUGUCAGAGGUGAAAUCCUUGGAUUUUUGGAAGACGAACUACUGCGAAAGCAUUUACCAAGGAUGUUUUCAUUAA
rnacentral:rRNA from 1 species